CACAUGCCCCGUUUGCUGCCUGCACCUCUCCACAAAGACUCCCAAAUCCUGUAGAAUUGAAUUUAAUCAUCUCCUGACAAAAGAAUGCAAUUUCAACUGACCCUUUUUUUGCACCUUGGGUGGCUCAGUUACUCAAAAGCUCAAGAUGACUGCAACAGGGGUGCCUGUCAUCCCACCACUGGCGAUCUCCUGGUGGGCAGGAACAUGCAGCUUACGGCUUCUUCUACCUGUGGGCUGAGCAGAGCCCAGAAAUACUGCAUCCUCAGUUACCUAGAGGGGGAACAAAAAUGCUUCAUCUGUGACUCUAGAUUUCCAUAUGAUCCGUACGCCCAACCCAACAGCCACACCAUUGAGAAUGUCAUUGUAAGUUUUGAACCAGACAGAGAAAAGAAAUGCUGGCAAUCUGAAAAUGGUCUUGAUCAUGUCAGCAUCAGACUGGACUUAGAGGCAUUAUUUCGGUUCAGCCACCUUAUCUUGACCUUUAAGACUUUUCGGCCUGCUGCAAUGUUAGUUGAACGUUCCACAGACUAUGGACACACCUGGAAAGUGUUCAAAUAUUUUGCAAAAGACUGUGCCACUUCCUUUCCUAACAUCACAUCUGGCCAGGCCCAGGGAGUGGGAGACAUUGUUUGUGACUCCAAAUACUCGGAUAUUGAACCCUCAACAGGUGGAGAGGUUGUUUUAAAAGUUUUGGAUCCCAGUUUUGAAACUGAAAACCUUAUAGCCCCUACAUCCAAGACCUUGUGACAUUGACAAACCUCAGGAUAAACUUUACCAAGCUCCACACCCUUGGGGAUACUUUGCUUGGAAGGAGGCAACAUGAUUCCCUUGAUAAAUACUACUAUGCUCUGUAUGAGAUGAUUGUUCGGGGAAGCUGCUUUUGCAAUGGCCAUGCUAGCGAAUGUCGCCCUAUGCAGAAGAUGCGGGGAGAUGUUUUCAGCCCUCCUGGAAUGGUUCACGGUCAGUGCGUCUGUCAGCACAAUACAGAUGGUCCGAACUGUGAGAGAUGCAAGGACUUCUUCCAGGACGUUCCUUGGAGGCCAGCUGCAGACCUCCAGGACAACGCUUGCAGAUCGUGCAGCUGUAACAGCCACUCCAGCCGCUGUCACUUUGACAUGACUACGUACCUGGCAAGCGGUGGCCUCAGCGGGGGCGUGUGUGAAGACUGCCAGCACAACACUGAGGGGCAGCACUGCGACCGCUGCAGGCCCCUCUUCUACAGGGAUCCGCUCAAGACCAUCUCAGAUCCCUACGCGUGCAUUCCUUGUGAAUGUGACCCUGAUGGGACCAUAUCUGGUGGCAUUUGUGUGAGCCACUCUGAUCCUGCCUUACGGUCUGUGGCCGGCCAGUGCCUUUGUAAGGAGAACGUGGAAGGAGCCAAAUGCGACCAGUGCAAGCCCAACCACUACGGACUGAGCGCCACUGACCCCCUGGGCUGCCAGCCCUGCGACUGUAACCCCCUUGGGAGUCUGCCAUUCUUGACCUGUGAUGUGGAUACAGGCCAAUGCUUGUGCCUGUCAUAUGUCACCAGAGCACACUGCGAAGAAUGCACUGUUGGAUACUGGGGCCUGGGAAAUCAUCUCCAUGGGUGUUCUCCCUGUGACUGUGAUAUUGGAGGUGCUUAUUCUAACGUGUGCUCACCCAAGAAUGGGCAAUGUGAAUGCCGCCCACAUGUCACUGGCCGUAGCUGCUCUGAACCAGCCCCUGGCUACUUCUUUGCUCCUUUGAAUUUCUAUCUCUAUGAGGCAGAGGAAGCCACACCACUCCAAGGACUGGCACCUUUGGGCUCGGAGACUUUUGGCCAGAGUCCUGCUGUUCACGUUGUUUUAGGAGAGCCAGUUCCUGGGAACCCGGUUACAUGGACUGGACCUGGAUUUGCCAGGGUUCUCCCUGGGGCUGGCUUGAGAUUUGCUGUCAACAACAUUCCCUUUCCUGUGGACUUCACCAUUGCCAUUCGCUAUGAAACCCGGUCUGCAGCUGACUGGACUGUCCAGAUCGUGGUGAACCCCCCUGGAGGGAGUGAGCACUGCAUACCCAAGAGUCCACAGUCAAAGCCUCAGUCUUUUGCCUUACCAGUGGCUACCAGAAUCAUGCUGCUUCCCACACCCAUCUGUUUAGAACCAGAUGUACAAUAUUCCAUAGAUGUCUAUUUUUCUCAGCCUUUGGAAGGAGAGUCCCACGCUCAUUCACACGUCCUGGUGGACUCUCUUGGCCUUAUUCCCCAAAUCAAUUCAUUGGAGAAUUUCUGCAGCAAGCAGGACUUAGAUGAGUAUCAGCUUCACAACUGUGUUGAAAUUGCCUCAGCAAUGGGACCUCAAGUGCUCCUGGGUGCCUGUGAAAGGCUGAUCAUCAGCAUGUCUGCCAAGCUGCAUGAUGGGGCUGUGGCCUGCAAGUGUCACCCCCAGGGCUCAGUCGGAUCCAGCUGCAGCCGACUUGGAGGCCAGUGCCAGUGUAAACCUCCUGUGGUCGGGCGCUGCUGUGACAGGUGCUCAACUGGAAGCUAUGAUUUGGGGCAUCAUGGCUGUCACCCAUGUCACUGCCAUCCUCAAGGAUCAAAGGACACUGUAUGUGACCAAGUAACAGGACAGUGCCCCUGCCAUGGAGAGGUGUCUGGCCGCCGCUGUGAUCGCUGCCUGGCAGGCUACUUUGGAUUUCCCAGCUGCCGCCCUUGCCCUUGUAAUGGGUUUGCUGAACUUUGUGAUCCUGAGACAGGGUCAUGCUUCAAUUGUGGAGGCUUUACAACUGGCAGAAACUGUGAAAGGUGUAUUGAUGGUUACUAUGGAAAUCCUUCUUCAGGACAGCCCUGUCGUCCUUGCCUGUGUCCAGAUGAUCCCUCAAGCAAUCAGUAUUUUGCCCAUUCCUGUUAUCAGAAUCUGUGGAGCUCAGAUGUAAUCUGCAAUUGUCUUCAAGGUUAUACGGGUACUCAGUGUGGAGAAUGCUCUACUGGUUUCUAUGGAAAUCCAAGAAUUUCAGGAGCACCUUGCCGACCAUGCGCCUGCAACAACAACAUAGAUGUAACCGAUCCAGAGUCCUGCAGCCGGGUAACAGGGGAGUGCCUUCGAUGUUUGCACAACACUCAGGGCGCAAACUGCCAGCUCUGCAAACCAGGUCACUAUGGAUCAGCCCUCAAUCAGACCUGCAGAAGAUGCUCCUGCCAUGCUUCCGGCGUGAGUCCCAUGGAGUGUCCCCCUGGUGGGGGAGCUUGCCUCUGUGACCCUGUCACUGGUGCUUGUCCUUGUCUGCCGAAUGUCACAGGACUGGCCUGUGACCGUUGUGCUGAUGGAUACUGGAAUCUAGUCCCUGGCAGAGGAUGUCAGUCAUGUGACUGUGACCCUAGGACCUCUCAAAGUAGCCACUGUGACCAGGCAAGAUACUUUAAAACUUACUAGUGCACUCAAAGUGAGCAUUGAUAGUGAGACAUGGUUUCUAAAUGUGUACAGAAAGUUUCUUUUAUGUACUGUUGUUAAUUAGUGCAUUUAAACAGUAUUGGCCUUACAGGGGAAGGAGUCAGCCUCUAUUAAGGAAUGAAAACCAAAAAAAGAGAAUGAGCAUCUCAAAGUUCAGCUUCACCUACUUCAGUUUUCUCUCUGUAACUGAGGAAGUCAGAAUUCAUACACAGUGAAACACAGACAUCAACCUCACCUUUCACUAUUUCAUACAUGUAACCAUA
rnacentral:sRNA from 1 species